UACGGAGGGCGCAAGCGUUAUCCGGAUUUAUUGGGUUUAAAGGGUCCGUAGGCGGAUGAUUAAGUCAGUGGUGAAAGCCCACAGCUCAACUGUGGAACUGCCAUUGAUACUGGUUAUCUUGAGUGCGGUUGAAGUUGGCGGAAUAUGUCAUGUAGCGGUGAAAUGCUUAGAUAUGACAUAGAACACCUAUUGCGAAGGCAGCCAACUAAGCCGUAACUGACGUUGAGGGACGAAAGCGUGGGGAGCGAACAGG
rnacentral:rRNA from 1 species